GACGAACGCUGGCGGCGUGCUUAACACAUGCAAGUCGAACGGAAAGGCCCUGCUUUUGUGGGGUGCUCGAGUGGCGAACGGGUGAGUAACACGUGAGUAACCUGCCCUUGACUUUGGGAUAACUUCAGGAAACUGGGGCUAAUACCGGAUAGGAGCUCCUGCUGCAUGGUGGGGGUUGGAAAGUUUCGGCGGUUGGGGAUGGACUCGGGGCUUAUCAGCUUGUUGGUGGGGUAGUGGCUUACCAAGGCUUUGACGGGUAGCCGGCCUGAGAGGGUGACCGGCCACAUUGGGACUGCGAUACGGACCAGACUCCUACGGGAGGCAGCAGUGGGGAAUAUUGCACAAUGGGCGGAAGCCUGAUGCAGCAACGCCGCGUGCGGGAUGACGGCCUUCGGGUUGUAAACCGCUUUAGCCUGUGACGAAGCGUGAGUGACGGUAAUGGGUAAAGAAGCACCGGCUAACUACGUG
rnacentral:rRNA from 1 species